rnacentral:rRNA from 1 species
AGGGGGCGAGCGUUGUGCGGAAUUACUGGGCGUAAAGCGUGCGCAGGCGGCUUCGCAAGUCAGGGGUGAAAGCCCAGAGCUCAACUCUGGAAUUGCCUUUGAGACUGAGUGGCUUGAGUACGAGAGAGGUGAGUGGAAUUCCCAGUGUAGAGGUGAAAUUCGUAGAUAUUGGGAAGAACACCGGUGGCGAAGGCGGCUCACUGGCUCGUAACUGACGCUCAUGCACGACAGCGUGGGGAUCAAACAGG